UUAAGAUUUGGGCGUAGAGUGCGAAUCUUAAAUUUUAAACUUUGGCUUUAAAAUUUAAAUACGUCUUUUAUCUUACAGGUUUAGUUACUAUAUUUCAUACACUUUUUGUAACUGUAAAUUUAUUAAAGUAAACAAUUAGCUUAAAUUUUAUAAUCAAAGUAUUGUUAACUAGCUCAAAAUUGAAAAUUUUGAUAGUAAAAUUAAAAUUUUGAAAAGUCUAAUGGUCAAAUCAGAAUGGUCCGUAGUUCAGAUAAGUUUUAUAUAUUUUUACCUUAAUUUGUUACAUACUCAUAAU
rnacentral:lncRNA from 1 species